GGCAGUGUCACCCACAUCAGGAAUAUUCCCUCAGAUACAGUCAGAAGAAUAUACAAGGAUAAAUGUACAAUAUCUGAUGAGCAAAACCAACAGAGGUGCUCCAGACAGGCUGGC